rnacentral:rRNA from 1 species
CUGGCGGCACGCCUAACACAUGCAAGUCGAACGAAGUAGCAAUACUUAGUGGCAGACGGGUGAGUAACAUGUGGGUAUCUGCCCUUUGGCCUGGAAUAACACGAGGAAACUUGUGCUAAUACUGGAUAAGUCUUUACGGAGAAAGCUUUAUGCACCAUUGGAUGAGCCUGCACUUGAUUAGUUUGUUGGUGGGGUAAUGGCCUACCAAGACUGUGAUCAAUAGCUGAUUUGAGAGGAUGAUCAGCCACAUUGGGACUGAGACACGGCCCAAACUCCUACGGGAGGCAGCAGUGGGGAAUCUUGCACAAUGGAGGAAACUCUGAUGCAGCGAUGCCGCGUGAGUGAAGAAGGCCUUUGGGUUGUAAAGCUCUUUCGUCGGGGAAGAAAAUGACUGUACCCGAAUAAGAAGGUCCG